GAUGAACGCUGGCGGCGUGCCUAAUACAUGCAAGUCGAGCGAACAGACGAGGAGCUUGCUCCUCUGACGUUAGCGGCGGACGGGUGAGUAACACGUGGAUAACCUACCUAUAAGACUGGGAUAACUUCGGGAAACCGGCGCUAAUACCGGAUAAUAUAUUGAACCGCAUUGUUCAAUAGUGAAAGACGGUUUUGCUGUCACUUAUAGAUGGAUCCGCGCCGCAUUAGCUAGUUGGUAAGGUAACGGCUUACCAAGGCAACGAUGCGUAGCCGACCUGAGAGGGUGAUAGGCCACACUGGAACGGAGACACGGUCCAGACGCCUACGGGAGGCAGCAGUAGGGAAUCUUCCGCAAUGGGCGAAAGCAUGACGGAGCAACGCCGCGUGAGUGAUGAAGGUCUUCGGAGCGUAAAACUCUGUUAUUAGGGAAGAACAAAUGUGUAAGUAACUAUGCACGUCUUGACGGUACCUAAUCAGAAAGCCACGGCUAACUACGUG
rnacentral:rRNA from 1 species